GCAGGAAGAGGGUGGGGCUGGUGGGGUUCCGGUGCCGGUGCGGGGCGACAUACUGUGGGGCCCACCGGUACCCGGAGCAGCACGGGUGCACGUUCGAUUUCAAGGAGGUGGGAAGGGAGGCGAUCGCGCGGGCCAACCCCGUCGUCAAGGCCGAUAAGCUCGACGGCAGGAUCUGAGAUCGAAGCUGGGAAAUUAUCGAUUUAUCGUACAAUCUCUGUGUUGGACGGUCAGGAUUGAUUGUCCUGUGAUCCCUGGGUGGGAUUUGGGCGGCUCUGGC
rnacentral:misc_RNA from 1 species